GACGAACGCUGGCGGCGUGCCUAAUACAUGCAAGUCGAGCGAGCUUGCCUAGAUGAAUUUGGUGCUUGCACCAAAUGAAACUAGAUACAAGCGAGCGGCGGACGGGUGAGUAACACGUGGGUAACCUGCCCAAGAGACUGGGAUAACACCUGGAAACAGAUGCUAAUACCGGAUAACAACACUAGACGCAUGUCUAGAGUUUAAAAGAUGGUUCUGCUAUCACUCUUGGAUGGACCUGCGGUGCAUUAGCUAGUUGGUAAGGUAACGGCUUACCAAGGCAAUGAUGCAUAGCCGAGUUGAGAGACUGAUCGGCCACAUUGGGACUGAGACACGGCCCAAACUCCUACGGGAGGCAGCAGUAGGGAAUCUUCCACAAUGGACGCAAGUCUGAUGGAGCAACGCCGCGUGAGUGAAGAAGGGUUUCGGCUCGUAAAGCUCUGUUGGUAGUGAAGAAAGAUAGAGGUAGUAACUGGCCUUUAUUUGACGGUAAUUACUUAGAAAGUCACGGCUAACUACGUGCCAGCAGCCGCGGUAAUACGUAGGUGGCAAGCGUUGUCCGGAUUUACUGGGCGUAAAGCGAGUGCAGGCGGUUCAAUAAGUCUGAUGUGAAAGCCUUCGGCUCAACCGGAGAAUUGCAUCAGAAACUGUUGAACUUGAGUGCAGAAGAGGAGAGUGGAACUCCAUGUGUAGCGGUGGAAUGCGUAGAUAUAUGGAAGAACACCAGUGGCGAAGGCGGCUCUCUGGUCUGCAACUGACGCUGAGGCUCGAAAGCAUGGGUAGCGAACAGG
rnacentral:rRNA from 1 species